AGUGAACGCUGGCGGUAGGCCUAACACAUGCAAGUCGAACGGCAGCACAGAGGAGCUUGCUCCUUGGGUGGUGAGUGGCGGACGGGUGAGGAAUACAUCGGAAUCUACUCUGUCGUGGGGGAUAACGUAGGGAAACUUACGCUAAUACCGCAUACGACCUACGGGUGAAAGCAGGGGACCUUCGGGCCUUGCGCGAUUGAAUGAGCCUAUGUCGGAUUAGCUAGUUGGCGGGGUAAAGGCCCACCAAGGCGACGAUCCGUAGCUGGUCUGAGAGGAUGAUCAGCCACACUGGAACUGAGACACGGUCCAGACUCCUACGGGAGGCAGCAGUGGGGAAUAUUGGACAAUGGGCGCAAGCCUGAUCCAGCCAUACCGCGUGGGUGAAGAAGGCCUUCGGGUUGUAAAGCCCUUUUGUUGGGAAAGAAAUCCAGCUGGCUAAUACCCGGUUGGGAUGACGGUACCCAAAGAAUAAGCACCGGCUAACUUCGUGCCAGCAGCCGCGGUAA
rnacentral:rRNA from 1 species